UAGGGAAUCUUCCGCAAUGGACGCAAGUCUGACGGAGCAACGCCGCGUGAGUGAAGAAGGAUUUCGGUUCGUAAAACUCUGUUGUUAGAGAAGAACAGCGCAUAGAGUAACUGUUAUGCGUGUGACGGUAUCUAACCAGAAAGCCACGGCUAACUACGUGCCAGCAGCCGCGGUAAUACGUAGGUGGCAAGCGUUGUCCGGAUUUAUUGGGCGUAAAGCGAGCGCAGGCGGUCAAUUAAGUCUGAUGUGAAAGCCCCCGGCUCAACCGGGGAGGGUCAUUGGAAACUGGUUGGCUUGAGUGCAGAAGAGGAGAGUGGAAUUCCCUGUGUAGCGGUGAAAUGCGUAGAUAUAUGGAGGAACACCAGUGGCGAAGGCGACUCUCUGGUCUGUAACUGACGCUGAGGCUCGAAAGCGUGGGUAGCAAACAGG
rnacentral:rRNA from 1 species